AUCCUAAGGAUUGUUUCCUGUGGUAAUGCCAUCAUUGCUGAACUUUUGAGACUCUCUGAGUUUAUUCCUGCUGUGUUCAGGUUAAAAGACAGAGCUGAUCAACAGAAAUAUGGAGAUAUCAUAUUUGAUUUCAGCUAUUUUAAGGGUCCAGAAUUAUGGGAAAGCAAACUGGAUGCUAAGCCAGAGCUACAGGAUUUAGAUGAAGAAUUUCGUGAAAACAACAUAGAAAUUGUGACCAGAUUUUAUUUAGCAUUUCAAAGUGUACAUAAAUAUAUUGUAGACUUAAACAGGUAUUGAUCUAUUUAGGAAUAGCUUAUUCUGGUAGUAAAUAGUGGAGAGGGAAAAGGACACAUAGCAACGUGUAAAUCUCUCUGAGUUACUACAAAAUUUCCUAAUUUAGUUUAUACUGUAUAUAGUUGUCUUUUCCUACCUGUGGCACUGGUCAUCUUAAGAAUUUUGAAGUUUUACUAUAAUGUCCUGCUCUUAUGAGGUGUUGUAAUAAACUUAGUUUAACUAA
rnacentral:lncRNA from 1 species